UGGGGAAUUUUCCGCAAUGGGCGCAAGCCUGACGGAGCAAUACCGCGUGCGGGAGGAAGCUUUUUGGAGUGUAAACCGCUUUUCUCUGGGAAGAUGAUGACGGUACCAGAGGAAUCAGCAUCGGCUAACUUCGUGCCAGCAGCCGCGGUAAUACGAGGGAUGCAAGCGUUAUCCGGAAUUAUUGGGCGUAAAGCGUUCGUAGGUGGUUUUGUAAGUCUGUCGUUAAAGAGUGGAGCUUAACUCCAUAAGGGCGAUGGAAACUGUAGAACUAGAGUAUGGUAGGGGUAACAGGAAUUCCCAGUGUAGCGGUGAAAUGCGUAGAUAUUGGGAAGAACACCAGCGGCGAAAGCGUGUUACUGGGCCAUUACUGACACUGAGGGACGAAAGCUAGGGGAGCGAA
rnacentral:rRNA from 1 species